UACGAAGGGUGCAAACGUUGCUCGGAAUUAUUGGGCGUAAAGCGCACGUAGGCGGCUUAGCAAGUCGGAAGUGAAAGCCCUUGGCUCAACCAAGGAAGUGCUUUCGAAACUGCUGAGCUUGAGUAGUUAAGAGGAUCGCGGAAUUCCCGGUGUAGAGGUGAAAUUCGUAGAUAGUCGGGAGGAACACCAGUGGCGAAGGCGGCGAUCUGGGAACAUACUGACGCUGAGGUGCGAAAGCGUGGGGAGCAAACAGG
rnacentral:rRNA from 1 species